GGUCAAAGACAACAACAGUAGAAAAAAGAUCGGAUCUGGAAAGAAUUAGACAUAGGGUCAGAUCGUGCUUAAGUUAGAAAAAGGUCGAAACAGUGAAUUUGUCCCCGCUUCGUUCAAUCGGAAGAGAGCUGCAGGGAAAAGAAGCCCCCAGGGAGAGAACGGAGCGAGGAGCCAUGGCAGCCAGGAACUUCUUAGUUCGAUCCCCCAAGGAAGAGGAAUCCAGCGCUGCCGUCCGAGAGGCUGUCGUGUUGGGAGCGAAGAACGCCGCCAUUGCUGGUACUGUGGUUGCGGUUCCCACGUUGGUUUCUUGCCGUGUCCUUCCUUGGGCUAAGCAUAAUCUGAACUACACCGCACAAGCACUCAUCAUAUCGGCAGGGGGACUGGAAAAAUCGGUCUGUUACUGGAACUUCCGACAGAGAAAACACACUUUGGCCAAUGGCCACAUCUGUAUGGAGAGAGAGAUUAGCAGGGAAGAAGCAGGAUUUUUGGCGUGACCACAUCAACAAUUUCCAUGUCAACCUAAAUAUUAAGAAAUGCAUCUACUCUGCGUAGGGGAAUCUGAUGGUGCAAGAGCACAUCUCGCUGGAAGGCAAAUCAACGAACAUUUGCGCUCGAUAACUCUUUUAGCCUGUAUCGCUGGCUUCUUCAUCACCGCAGA